GGCCUGUUGGAGAAACGGUUAACUCAUAGCCCUCUCAAGGCUACAUUCGCGGGUUCGAAUCCCGCACAGGUCACCA
rnacentral:tRNA from 1 species